GGGAACGAAAAUAAAAUCAGGGAAAAUAGAAACCCCUUCAAUCCCUAAAUGACCUCUCCUUCAAGCUGAGUGCAACUCAUCUCCUUCCUUCGAUCGCGACUGCUCGUCACUUUUGGGCACCUUCUUCCAUCACUGGAGAAAGUCAGCACCGUCAAAGAUCUCUUGAUUCCUCGCGGCCGGGCCGGCUUGGAAGCAAGCUACAUGUCGCCUAUCUCACCCCUUUUCUUAUUAUUAGUAAGAUAGGUUGCCCCUUGCUCUUUGCUCCAGUUGAAAAAGAAUUUGGAGUUUGUUGUUUGUUGUUUUUCUCUUUGGAUUUUCCUGUCAAAAUAUUAGAUCACAAAUUCUAGUUGUUGCUGCUAGCUACUUAAUAGCAUCGUUGGGAUUAUUACCAGUCAAGACUUUGAGGUUUAUUGUCAGAAAAUCCCUUGGGAAGUCAUGGUAUGCCAAUGAAGUUGAGGCUGCAUGCUCUCACUUGUCACAGAAACUGACCGGGGGAACUCUUGCUGAGACUAGGGCAGCAACCACCAACUGGGGACACCAGCCAAGUAAACAAGAAGCUGAGAAAAUGAUGAGAGAAUCCACCUUGGAUAGACUUUCUUCUUUAAUCAGAAAUCAUGAGAAGAAACUAGCUCUGGCAAAAGCAAGGUUCAAGAAGGCUGAGAAGGAUUUAGCAAAAAUAUAGGGUGAUUUGGAACCAGCAGACCUUCCAUCUGAUUUGGAGACAUUAACUAAUGAAGAGAGAUUUUUGUUUAGGAAGAUUGGUCUGAGUAUGAAGCCAUAUUUACUUCUAGGAGGCGAGAUGUUUAUGCUGGCACCAUAGAAAACAUGCAUCUACACUGGAAAUAUCGAGAGGUCGUAAAGAUAAUUGUGAAAGGGAAAAUAUCUACACAUGCUUCUACUUCCAUCCGCAGGUUACAAGACCCAAAAGCUUGUUGACACGAAGACAAGCAUUGGCUCGGUCUAUUGAGCUUCAAAGACGAGAGGCACUGAAAUAUCAUAUCUCAUAUUUAUAGGAGAUGAUUGAGUUGCUCAAAUCUGAGCUAGUAUGAUGUUUUAUCACUUCUUUAAAAUGACAUAGAAUUGUGAUUGAAUGUGGUUGAUAAGGCCUCAUUUGAGGUUGCAGAGACAUCAAAACCUGGAGUUAGAGUUCUAUUAGGCUAAUAAUGGUUUUUAACCAAUACAUGUAAUCAUUGGUUUUUGUUUUGUUGGUAACAACAUUUGGGACUAUGAUGUGCUUAACUUGGAAGUGCCAACACUUCCUAUUGUUGGAUCAUUGAUAAAAUCUGGAGUUAGAGCUCUAAUUUACAAGUCAACCGCGUCGACACUUAAUAACAACUGGACGGAGUACUUUUGUGACUUCCAAAAGAUUAGUUGUUGGAGAUACUUUUGUGUUUCUGAGAGGAAACAAUGGAGAAUUACGCGUUGUAGUGAGGCA